rnacentral:rRNA from 1 species
GACGAAGGUGGCGAGCGUUGUUCGGAAUCACUGGGCAUAAAGCGCACGUAGGCGGCGGAGUAAGUUGGGUGUGAAAUCCCGGGGCUUAACCUCGGAAUUGCAUUCAAUACUGCUUCGCUAGAGUACUGGAGAGGAGGCUGGAAUUUACGGUGUAGCAGUGAAAUGCGUAGAUAUCGUAAGGAAGGCCGGUGGCGAAAGCGAGCCUCUGGACAGUUACUGACGCUGAUGCACGAAGGCCAGGGGAGCAAACGGG